GCUACUUCUAAACAUCUGCAACGUAUACUCAGUAUAAGACAUUCUACUUAUAAAACUAACCAACACCUCCCCCCCCCCUCACACAUACACACACACACACACGCACUCACAGCGCAACAGCUCAUUCAUACGCCGGUCAGCUGUCGCGUGCCUUGGCGCGCUCUCGCUGGGAGCUUUCGUACGGUGAAAGCUCUCAGCAUAUGCAGAGGCGUAGCUGAAACUUUGGCCAGCCAUGUGUAGCUUGGGUGGGGCGACAUGGUACGCCACUGGCGCAGCAUAAGUAUUGUAGAGCAGCACGUUUCCAUAUGAUUUUCAGUUUUGUUUGUGUCUGUGUCCACGGCAGACCGCAGCAGUAGCAACAAUAUUUUAUAAUCGUAUUUAUGUGUGUUUAAAGUGCAGUGAAUUAAUAAUAUUAAUAUUAUCAUAAUCAAUAGUAAUAAAAUAAACGAAAAACAAUUAUUUUCGUUGUGGACGAUCUACGUAUAUAGAACGCUAUGAGCAAAUCGCAUCGGGAUCACAAAAUCGUUAUCAUCGGCGCCGGAGCGUCGGGUGUUGCCUGCGCCACCAAGCUCCUGGAAUAUGGCUUCCAGAAUGUGCUGAUCGUUGAGGCCGAGUCGCGUCUGGGCGGUCGCAUACAUACGAUACCCUUUGGCGAGAAUGUGAUCGAUCUGGGCGCCCAAUGGUGCCACGGCGAGCAGGAUAACAUUGUCUACGAGCUGGCCAGCCAGCACGAUCUGCUCGAGUCCACGGGACCCGUCUACGAGAACUAUCAGUGUGUGCGCAGCAAUCGCGAAGUCUUGCCGGACAACGUCGCCAGCCGGCUGAAGGCGAUUGUGGGUGACUCGCUGGUCACACGGCAGCUGGAGCUGCAGCACUGCAGCGGCUCGCUGGGCAGCUAUCUGUCGAGCAAGUUCUACGAGAUGCUGCGCCGGCCGGAGAAUGCCGACAUUGAUCCGGUCGUUGCGGGCGAGUUCUUUGAUAAUUAUCAGAAAUUCGAGAACUCUGUGGAGGCAUCCGACACCCUGGAGGAGGUGUCGGGGCGCGGAUAUCUAGACUAUUGGGAGUGCGAGGGCGACAUUCUGCUUAACUGGAAGGACAAGGGCUUUGUCGAGCUGUUGCGUCUGCUAACGCGCAGUCGCGAGCUGCAGACGAGCUCGGAUCUGGGCAUCCUCGAGCAGCGGGUGCUCUUCAAUCGGCGCGUCACCAAAAUCAAUUGGAAUCGCAAUGAUGCUCGGGUCGAGCUGCAGCUGAACAACGGUGAAUCCUGCGUGGCAGAUCAUGUUAUAGUCACCGUUUCGCUGGGCGUCCUUAAGGAGCAGCAUUUGCAGCUGUUUGAGCCGCAGCUGCCGGUGGCCAAGCAACGUGCUAUCCAGGGAUUGGCCUUUGGCACCGUCAACAAGCUGUUUGUUGAGUUUCCGGCGGCCUUUUGGCCCGAGGAUUGGACGGGCUUUACGCUGUUGUGGCGUCAGCAGGAUCUGGCCGAUAUACGCAAUACGCCGCUUGCCUGGCUGGAGGAUGUCUUUGGCUUCUAUCGCGUCAGCUAUCAGCCACGCGUCCUCGCCGGCUGGAUCAUAAAUGCCAAUGGCCGGCACAUGGAGUCACUGCAGCCGGCUGAGGUACUUGCCGGCUGCAUGUAUCUCUUCCGGCGCUUUCUACACUGGCACAUACCAGAGCCGCUCGGCUUUCGCAGCUCCGCCUGGUACACAAAUCCGUAUUUCCGUGGCUCCUAUUCCUUUCGCUCCAUGGACACGGAACGCCUGGGCACCGGCGCCAGCGAUCUGGCCCAGCCAUUGACGGUGGUUGCCAUGACGCCGCCUUCGCCGGGACGCAGCAAAAUGCUGGUGCCGCCGCAGAGCCGCUGUGACAAGCCAAUUGUCCAAUUCGCCGGCGAGGCCAGCAGCGAACAUUACUACUCAACGGUCCACGGUGCCGUGGAGGCCGGUUGGCGCGAGGCCAAGCGAUUGGCGGACUUUUAUGGCCUCAGCGUGGCGCCGGCCAAGUCGCAGCUAUAACAUCAGGAGUCGGCGCGAGCCUAUUUUGUAAGUAAUUGUGCAAUGGAUUAUGGAUAAAAUGAAAAAAAAAAAAAAUGACAAAAAAGCUCAGGUCUUCCUAGGAUCUGCUUACAAUCAAUCAAUCAAUAAAUCAAUUAAUCCUGAGUAGAAAUACAACUAUAUAGAAUAGAAUGCUAAUUUGUCCUGUUUACCAUACAUAAAUCUAAUGUCCAUCUAAAUUCGAAACAUUUUGACAGACCUUCUGUCUUCUUAGGUCCUGCUGACAAUCAAUCAAUCAAUCAAUCAUGAUUAUGUAUAGCAUAGACUGCUACUUUGUGCUAUAAAUCCUAUAUCCAUGUAACUACGAAACCUUUUGUUCUAACUGAACCCCUGAUUGACUGACUGAUUGACUAGUUGGCUGAUUGACUGAUUUAUUAAUUGGAGAUCAACGCAAAGCGCAGGCUAUAAAGCUUCAUUUUUCAAGUUAAGUUACAAUUUAAGUUCAGAAUAGCUAAAAAUGGAUUCACAAUAUAUACUGACUGAUUGACUGACUGGCUAGCUGUCUGAUUGAUUAAUUUACUGAUUGGCGAUCAACGCAGCACUAUGAAGCUACUUUUUGCACAGAAGUUACAUUUAACGUUGAAAUGAAGUAUAAAUUGACAGUACAACGACAAAGAAAACUGUGCUGACUGACUGAUUGAGUGAUUGAGGCCCAUAUAAAUAUAAAUACGAGCUCUUUGCCCGACAUGGCAAUUAAAUGUGAUUAUCCAUAUAAAUGUAUAUACACAUAUGUAUAUAUGUAUAUAUAUAAGCUGUUUGUUCUGACUGAUUGAUUGAUUGUCUCUCUGUCUGUCUGACUGAUUGAUGAGCUGCAUUUUCACUUCUUUAUGUGGUAUAAUAGAGUGAAAAAUAAGUGGAAAACGAUUGCAAGGUUUUAUGUUUUCGUCCGAUUGGCACUGAUUUUGGAUAUUUUAAUGGUUGGCUAUUUUUGUUUUUCAUCUGAUUGAAUUGAAUUAAAUUUAUACGCAAAGAUCUAUAUCCUUUGAGACGUUUUUCUAUAA